CCCAUGGCCCCUGCCCAGGGAGCUGCGACGCACCUCGGUGUGCCAGAGAUUCUUGCAGGCGACAGCUAUGGAUCAUUCUGAGCCUGUCUUCUCUAGGCCUGGAUGUGGGGUACAGUUGGAUGGUCCCACAGGACUUCCUCCGCCCCCUGCCCUCUCCUGUCUCCUUUCUUUGGGGUCCUCUCUGUGGGCAGGACAGAGGUCCCCGCCCCAGGGUCCCCCCACACUGAGAUGGCCCAAAGUGGAAACUUCCACCAGAAAGUCGCACACACGUCAGCCUCCAUGCGAAGCCAUGGCUCUUUCAAGUUAAUUUUGUGCAUUAUCCCUUUUUCUUAGGUAAGGACAGUGUGACAAGUGGCCUGAUAAUGCUGGAAAUGUAGGUCACGGUUUAGUUUCCUGAGCCACAGCCUGCAGUUCUGCUCUGCGCGAGCAUUCUGGAGGCAACACCAUCUUAGUACAAGGGUGCUUGGUACAUUUCUUUUAAAAAUUAGGUUUUUGGAGCCCUGGUUUUGUACCUGAAGUCAACUCUACGAUAGCUUCUGAG
rnacentral:lncRNA from 1 species